rnacentral:lncRNA from 1 species
AUAUGACUUAGGAAGUUUGUUCCAAAUCAUAUUCAAGGGAAUCAUAUAGGAAAGUAUCACAUUGGAUAGUGGACAUGAAACAAACUAUCACUUAAACAAUGUGAUUAAGAGUAUUGUAUUAGAGAAGAACCGUUGCAUUGUAGUUGUAACUGGAUAGGUUCUCCAACCAAUUCUACGUAGCUUGGGUAACCAUGAUAUGCUGCUAGGCAUGUGGAAGCCCUAAUGGUUAGCAAACACUAAUCAAUAAAGGGAGAAUUGAAAUGUGGUUUCAAUUCACAAUCGAUCGUUAAGAGUAACAAUCGCCCACUGCCUCGUUAAUUGGAACCUAAUGGAUCGUACACCGAGUAAGGAUGUAUGUGAAGAAAUCAAAUGAAAUGGAUAAGCAAUUAAAUGGUUUAAUUGAAGAAUGGUCAAGAUUAAUUAAAUAGUUAAUUAAUUAUACGAAAUGUUCGUAUUGGGCUUAUAUGUUGGUUUUGGGUUUCGGGGCCCAAAAGCAUUUUGGUCCACAAGGCCCAUUAUGUUUAAGUUGUAUGACAACUAAAACAAAAUGGGCAAAUUAGCCCAAUAACAAAUGCGGGCCGGCCAUUAGGGUGAAUAUGGCAAACUUGGAUUAAUUACAAGUUUGCCACUCACUUGUAAUGAAGUAUAAAUUCAACUUUAUAGCUUUAUUUUCAUUUAAGGGUUUUCUUGAUGAAAUUGGGUGAAACAUUUUCUCUCUUUUUCUUCCAAGAGGCCGGCCACUAAGGGGAGGAACAUCUAGCAAUCUCUUCUUCCCUAAGUCAUCCAUAUCAUCUUCACAAGAUACAUCAUUGGUGAAGAGACUUAGAGACAUCAAACUUUGGUGUUUUGGAGAACAAAUCCUCAAAUCCUCAAAGAAUCAAAGGAGCACUAAAAGGAGGAAAAUCACAAGGAAUAUUCAAGGAGCUUGGAGGUGACUUGAAGACCCUCCACUUGGGUGAAUCCCUUGUGUAAACAAGGAUGAGCUUCAAGGGUAAAGAAACUCUAAAUCUUUACUUCUCUUUAAUGUUGUUAAAGAGUUCAUUGGUUCACCAUAUACUAGGCUUUGAAAGUCAUGGGUUUUAUGAAUUGUUUUUGGGUGCAUGCCUACUUUAAAGUGUUUAUAACUUGCAUAUGUAUUCAAAUGUUCAUACUUGUUCUUAGCUAGGACAAAAUUUUUCCUUCAAGUGGUAUCAGAGCCUAGGCCUAGUUUAUGGUGAAUCCUUUUGGGUUUUGUGAUUUUCAUAAUAUGUGAUUUAAAUGUUGUAAAUGUUACAAGUUUUGUUCUUGCUUUUGAAUAUAUAAAUUUUGCUAGAAAAUUUAGCAUCUCAAAUGUUGUAGAUGUAUUUCAUUCAAGCAUGAAUAUUGGAACUAAAAUUUGGUGCCAUGUAUUUUGGGAAAUUCGGCCAAAUCCUUAGGGUGAUUUUUUGGGUUCAUGUUUGUCUUGUUAAAAUGGUUUUAAGGUGACUUUUGGAACCCCUAAGUACCCUAGGAUAUUAGCCCUCUUUUGAGUGGUGAAAAAUUAAGUUUUGGUGAAUGAAAACAUUCAUGGAGCUAUUAUGAGUUUUCAUGGUGUUCUUCAAAUGUUCUUGAAGUUCUUGCCAAGAACAAAAAGGUUUGAAGUUUUGAUUCAAAUGUUUUAUGUUUUUCAUAAAGUUUUGGUUUAUUAUUUGAUGGGUGAUUGUUAUUGGUGAGAAGUGAUUAAAAGGCUUUAAUGUUUGUCAAAACUCAUAAAUGUUUUACAAAACAUUUUCUUACAAACCAUCAAUUUCACCUUUACCUCACCCACCAAAAUCAACUUGCAUAAAACCCUUUCACACUCCUUUACCACUCCAAAACCGGCCACCCCCUAGUGGGGGUACUUUUGGGGUCUUUUAUGCAAUUAUAUAAAGUUUUGAUACUUUUGUGUAUUUGCACUUUGGCCCAAAAGUUUACGUUUUUACGUUAAGGCCCUAAACACUAAAGGACGAAUUGUUUUGAUCCUUUAAUGAUGUUUUUACAUUAAUAAAAUUUUGGGAUCUAGUUGUAAUUA